ACUGAACCUUGUGCUGAUCAACAUUGAGAUGACCCCCGAUUUCCGCGGCAAAGUUGAAGGUCCAUCCCAUUCUGAUCUGCGGAUCCUUGCUGAUGCCGCCAUUGAGAAUCCAAGCCUCAGGAACAAAACUUUCUUCAUCCCAAUUAUCUUAACCUCAAACCAGGCCCUUGACACAAUAGAAGCAGAGUCAUCAAUGUGGGGGCCAUUGUAACGCACUGGGGCAGUACACACAUGGGAAAAUAUGCUACAUUUAACAGGUUCGACGUAGCCUCGUU
rnacentral:misc_RNA from 1 species